UGGGGAACCUGCCCCAUAGUCCGGGAUACCACUUGGAAACAGGUGCUAAUACCGGAUAAGAAAGCAGAUCGCAUGAUCAGCUUUUAAAAGGCGGCGUAAGCUGUCGCUAUGGGAUGGCCCCGCGGUGCAUUAGCUAGUUGGUAAGGUAAAGGCUUACCAAGGCGAUGAUGCAUAGCCGAGUUGAGAGACUGAUCGGCCACAUUGGGACUGAUACACGGCCCAAACUCCUACGGGAGGCAGCAGCU
rnacentral:rRNA from 1 species